CCUACGGGAGGCAGCAGUGAGGAAUAUUGGUCAAUGGACGAGAGUCUGAACCAGCCAAGUAGCGUGAAGGAUGACUGCCCUAUGGGUUGUAAACUUCUUUUAUAUAGGAAUAAAAUGUUCCACGUGUGGGAUUUUGUAUGUACCAUAUGAAUAAGGAUCGGCUAACUCCGUGCCAGCAGCCGCGGUAAUACGGAGGAUCCGAGCGUUAUCCGGAUUUAUUGGGUUUAAAGGGAGCGUAGGGGGAUUGUUAAGUCAGUUGUGAAAGUUUGCGGCUCAACCGUAAAAUUGCAGUUGAAACUGGCAGUCUUGAGUACAGUAGAGGUGGGCGGAAUUCGUGGUGUAGCGGUGAAAUGCUUAGAUAUCACGAAGAACUCCGAUUGCGAAGGCAGUUCACUGGACUGCAACUGACACUGAGGCUCGAAAGUGUGGGUAUCAAACAGGAUUAGAUACCCGAGUAAUC
rnacentral:rRNA from 1 species